rnacentral:rRNA from 1 species
AAGGGAACCACAAGAACGCGUGGAGCAUGUGGCUUAAUAUGACUCAACGCGGGAAAUCUUAUCAGGUCCAAAAUAACUGAGGAUUGACAGGUUCUUAUAAGAUUUUUAUAUAUAUUAUUUAUUUAAUAUAUAUAAUUAUUUAUCUUAUAUCAAAUAUGCUAGUCCUUUCAUGAUUGUGUGAUAGGUGGUGCAUGGCCGUUCUUAGUUCGUGGAGUGAUCUGUCUGCUUAAUUGCGUUUCACUAAAAAAUGGACUCAUAUUAGAUAUUUCGUCGCACACAAAGUUUUGUUGCUUUAUAUGUAAAAGUAUACUGCACCUUUUGUCGCUGCCACAGUAUCUUUUAUAAAUGUAGUCCAGAAGGCAACGAACGUGACCGCAACAUCUUGUUGCAUUUUCUUUAUUUAAUUUUUUGUAUAAUUUAUUUUAUAUAAAUUUUUUAAUAAUAUACAAAUGCUAACUAGAUGGACCGCUGGCUCUUUUUUAAACAGAGGAAGGUUGCGGCAAUAACAGGUCAGAAUGCCCUUAGAUGUUCUGGGCUGCACACGUGCUACAAUGAUUAUUGCAGUAAGCAUCUAUUAUGMAGACUUUAUGUUUUUUAAUAAACGUAAAUGUUGAAGAUAAGUCUUUCUUAAGUAUAUUAUMGMUAUUUAUUUAACUUUAAUUUUACUUUUGACUACUMGACUUAUCUGUGUGACCUACUUCGAAAGCAAGUAGGUAAUCAAUUCGAAGUAAUGAUUUCCUUUMGCACAUAUGGUAUGUUUCAUGAUUGUAGUCUUAUGUUAUAUUUUAUUAUAUGAUGUUUGUACUACCUUGAAACAUGUGCUCCAUAAUUUCAUAUGUUGGGAUUGAGCAUUGUUAAUUGUUGCUCAUGUCAACUAGGAAUGCCUUGUACGGGUUGGUUCAACAAACCACCCGGAAUAUGUCCCUGCCCUUUGUACACACCGCCCGUCGCUCUUACCGAUGGACUAUUCUGUGAGUAUGCAGGAAGGGAUUUCUAUCUUAAACUUGUUUAAGAUUGAAAUCUAUACGAAUGUACGCGNNCAGUGUGGUCUAACGGAAAGAGUUGUCGUAACAAGGCAUCAGUAGGUGAACCU